rnacentral:rRNA from 1 species
AACUCUACAAUGCAGGCAACUGCGAUAGGGGAACAUCGAGUGAUACUCAUCUUGGGUGUCUGUCCUCCCGUCUAAAAAACGGGAGUUAGCAAGGGCCGGGCAAGACCGGUGCCAGUCGCCGCGGUAAUGCCGGCGGCUCGAGUGGUGGCCGAUAUUAUUGAGUCUAAAGGGUCCGUAGCCGGCUUUGCAAGUCUUUUGGGAAAUCCAGCGGCUUAACCGUUGGGCGUCCGGGAGAUACUACAUUGCUUGGGACUGGGAGAGGUAGGAGGUACUCAGGGGGUAGGAGUGAAAUCCUGUAAUCCUUUGGGGACCACCGGUGGCGAAGGCGUCCUACCAGAACAGGUCCGACGGUGAGGGACGAAAGCUAGGGGCACGAACCGGAUUAGAUACCCGGGUAGUCCUAGCCGUAAACGAUGCUCGCUAGGUGUCACAACAAUCGUGAAUUGUUGUGGUGCCGUAGGGAAGCCGUGAAGCGAGCCACUUGGGAAGUACGACCGCAAGGUUGAAACUUAA